rnacentral:rRNA from 1 species
UACGAAGGGGGCUAGCGUUGCUCGGAAUCACUGGGCGUAAAGCGCACGUAGGCGGAUCUUUAAGUCAGGGGUGAAAUCCUGGAGCUCAACUCCAGAACUGCCCUUGAUACUGGGGAUCUUGAGUCCGGAAGAGGUGAGUGGAACUCCGAGUGUAGAGGUGAAAUUCGUAGAUAUUCGGAAGAACACCAGUGGCGAAGGCGGCUCACUGGUCCGGUACUGACGCUGAAGUGCGAAAGCUAGGGGAGCGAACGGG